rnacentral:lncRNA from 1 species
GUAACGACUCUGGAUCCAUUCAGCAUCAGUCAACUAGGGGUUUGAGGGUAUGCUUUUUCUCUUUUCUUUCUUUUGAUUUUGAUUAUUUUGAUUUUAUUUUUUUUAUUUUGUUUUUCAACCCUCUUUCUCUUUUUUUUUUUAUUACAUUUGUAAUGCCCCAGUUUGACUGUUUUGCUGAUUCUCAAGAUAUAGCUGAAUGAUCUUCUUUUCGUACUCAAGAAGACGGGAAAUCUCGUCAGGAAUCCCUUCAACAUCAU